rnacentral:rRNA from 1 species
CGACGCAGCAACGCCGCGUGUGUGAUGAAGGUCUUCGGAUGUAAAGCACUUCGACCGGGACGAAAAAGCGGGUGCUAAUCAGCCUGCCUUGACGGUACCGGGAGAAGAAGCACCGGCUAACUCUGUGCCAGCAGCCGCGGUAAUACAGAGGGUGCAAGCGUUGUUCGGAAUUAUUGGGCGUAAAGCGCGUGUAGGCGGCCUGGCAAGUCGGGUGUGAAAGCCCUCAGCUCAACCGAGGAAGUGCGCCCGAAACUGCUAUGGCUUGAGUGCCGGAGAGGGUGGCGGAAUUCCCCAAGUAGAGGUGAAAUUCGUAGAUAUGGGGAGGAACACCGGUGGCGAAGGCGGCCACCUGGACGGUGACUGACGCUGAGACGCGAAAGCGUGGGGAGCAAACAGGAUUAGAUACCCUGGUAGUCCACGCCGUAAACGAUGAGAACUAGGUGUCGUGGGAGUUGACCCCCGCGGUGCCGUAGCUAACGCAUUAAGUUCUCCGCCUGGGAAGUACGGUCGCAAGACUA